AAAAGUCGUAACAAGGUCUCCGUAGGUGAACCUGCGGAGGGAUCAUUAACAAAUCUACACACACACACACAUAUCCUGUGUAACUGUCUGUUCCUGGGAGAAGUGGUAUUCGUAUCACCCACACCAGGAACAUCAUCACAAACACACACACUUUGUCAGUCAGUAUGAUACAUGCAUACGCAUGCAAAAUCAAUCUACAAACAACUUUUAACAAUGGAUCUCUUGGCUCUU
rnacentral:misc_RNA from 1 species